AUGCGUGUCUCAUCCAGGAUCCAGGAAUACGUUAGUUGGGAGCCACCCAGCCUCCUCACCGCUCUUGAUUCCUGGCCGUCGGAUCUGUUGUCUGAUGCGUUCUUGACCAAUUACUGUCUUACCUCGCUGACGUGUGGGGUCGAUCCCCGGUGGGCCGCGCUGGUCAGCGACUAUGUCUACAAAGUGGCGUGUGCGGGCUGCGUCUCUCCCUCGCAUCUCUCUCUCGUGUUGACGCCGCCGCCCCCUCCCCUUCUCUUCGUUGCCCUUCCCUCGCGCCGCCGCCCUCCGAGAAGCAACACGGCCACUACUGCUCCGCGUCGGGCCGAGCUUGCCACCGCCGCCGCUCUCCCCGUCGUGCUCGUCCCUCACCACCGGCCCUCGGGUUGUGGAGGGGCAACAGGCAGCGGUGGAAGAGGAGAUCGACCACCAACCGCUGCCGCCCGUCCUCCUGCUUCGCCAUCAACGGGAGGAGGACCGGAGCGUGUCCUCAAGUUCGUGCUCCUCCGGGAAGAGGGCAAACCGAGAGCCAGGCAACUGUGGGAACAAGGAGAUGAGUUUCGUGGAGACGGUGAGCAGAAUGGAGACAAGGAUGGCGACUUGAUGCUCCUUGGAGACGUCCUCUGGAGGAUCGUUGGUGCGUGCUCCCCCUGUUACACGGCGCUUAGGAGAAGGAGAGGCAUGGUCUCCACCAAAAAACAGACGAGGAAGAAGUGAGAUGCUGCUAGCCCCUUGGCCUGCUGCAUCUCCAAUCGGCGCUUGCAACAGGAGAACCACAUCCCUGGCCUCUCCAUGCCCCCCCGAGCGCCAACCUGUAGGCUACAACGACAAGGUGAGGCGGGCCCCUACUCAGAAAAAACAGGUUCAGGAGGUGUUUAUCCUAUAUAUGAUUCAGUAACUUGCAUUCUAAUCUCAUUUGUCUUCUUCUCAUUGGGCAUGGUGUCUUUAGGUUAUCAAAGGGAAUUGAAUAUGGCUGUUGACAAUUCAGAUUGUGGGCAGCUAAGAGUUUAGAAUUACUCAUGUAAAUUUUUUCUUAUAAAUAAUAUAAUGAUGCAGUAGUAGCCCCUCCUAUCUUUUGUCAACAAUGGUGUGAUACUAAGAUUUUCACUGCAGUAGCAUCCGUAUCCAAUGUAACUCGGCUAUAGGUUAUCCAAAGUAAUGAUGUCUAUUA